UAAACGGCCCUUUUCAGGGCCACCCCUCUGACAACUAAACGACUCUU
rfam:Helobdella robusta unplaced genomic scaffold HELROscaffold_4, whole genome shotgun sequence.